UAGUUCAAUAUCGGACACAGGAUCAGCUCGCUGGGUUAUCGAUGUCAUCAUCGUUCACAAAGGCAAACCUGUCUAUACAAAGUCCGGUUUUUGGAUUCGGGUGUUCGAAAAAUUCAUCAAACAGCAAGCCCUCUAGGCCUAACACAGACGCAAACCAGGACUUGGUGGUGAUGAUCUUGGCGCCCUAGAAACAGUUUCUGGCAACAUCACAAUCUGAAUCUUGGAACUUCAAUCUGGCCAUAUGCAGUUUUGACAACAAAGACAUUAAAUGUGUUCAGAGGUUGAA